rnacentral:rRNA from 1 species
CACAGGACUCUCGGCAACGGAUAUCUCGGCUCUCGCAUCGAUGAAGAACGUAGCGAAAUGCGAUACCUGGUGUGAAUUGCAGAAUCCCGCGAACCAUCGAGUCUUUGAACGCAAGUUGCGCCCGAGGCCAUCCGGCCGAGGGCACGCCUGCCUGGGCGUCACG